UACGAAGGUGGCAAGCGUUGUUCGGAUUUACUGGGCGUGCAGGGAGCGUAGGCGGUUGGAUAAGCCCUCCGUGAAAUCUCCAGGCUUAACCUGGAAAGUGCAGAGGGGACUGUUCAGCUAGAGGAUGGGAGAGGAGCGCGGAAUUCCCGGUGUAGCGGUGAAAUGCGCAGAUAUCGGGAGGAACACCAAUUGCGAAGGCAGCUCGCUGGGACGUGACUGACGCUGAGACGCGAAAGCGUGGGGAGCAAACAGG
rnacentral:rRNA from 1 species